AAUUUCCUACGGGACGCAGCAGUGAGGAAUAUUGGUCAAUGGACGAGAGUCUGAACCAGCCACGUAGCGUGAAGGAUGACUGCCCUAUGGGUUGUAAACUUCUUUUAUAUGGGAAUAAAGUGAGCCACGUGUGGCUUUUUGUAUGUACCAUACGAAUAAGGAUCGGCUAACUCCGUGCCAGCAGCCGCGGUAAUACGGAGGAUCCGAGCGUUAUCCGGAUUUAUUGGGUUUAAAAGGAGCGUAGGCGGAUUAUUAAGUCAGUUGUGAAGGUUUGCGGCUCAACCGUGAAAUUGCAGUUUAUACUG
rnacentral:rRNA from 1 species